CCUGUUUAACAAAAACAUGUYUUUWUGAGUUAUUUUUAAAGUMUGACCUGCCCACUGAAAUUAUUUAAAUGGCCGCAGUAUUCUAACUGUGCAAAGGUAGCAUAAUCAUUAGUSUUUUAAUUGAAGGCUGGUAKGAACGGUUGGACGAGGUAUAGGCUGUUUCAUAUGAAUUUGUAAUAGAAUUUUAUAUUUUAGUUAAAAAGCUAAAAUUUAAUUAAAAGACGAGAAGACCCUAUAAAUCUUUAUAUUUACAGAUKGUUUAAGUUUUAUAGRAUUAUUCUAUUUUUACAGUUUGGGGUAUUUUGUUGGGGUGAUAUUAAAAUUUAAUGAACUUUUAAUUGUUUAGAAUCAUUAAUUUAUGAAUUAWUGAUCCAUUAAUAGUGAUUAUAAGAUUAAGUUACUUUAGGGAUAACAGCGUAAUUUUUUUGGAGAGUUCC
rnacentral:rRNA from 1 species